rnacentral:rRNA from 1 species
UGGAGCAUGUGGUUUAAUCGAAGCAACGCGAGAACCUUACCAGGCCUUGACAUGCAGAGAACUUUCCAGAGAUGGAUUGGUGCCUUCGGGAACUCUGACACAGGUGCUGCAUGGCUGUCGUCAGCUCGUGUCGUGGGAUGUUGGGUUAAGUCCCGUAACGAGCGCAACCCUUGUCCUUAGUUACCAGCACGUUAUGGUGGGCACUCUAAGGAGACUGCCGGUGACAAACCGGAGGAAGUGGGGAUGACGUCAAGUCAUCAUGGCCCUUACGGCCUGGGCUACACACGUGCUACAAUGGUCGGUACAAAGGGUUGCCAAGCCGCGAGGUGGAGCUAAUCCCAUAAAACCGAUCGUAGUCCGGAUCGCAGUCUGCAACUCGACUGCGUGAAGUCGGAAUCGCUAGUAAUCGUGAAUCAGAAUGUCACGGUGAAUACGUUCCCGGGCCUU